CCCAAAGUCCCAAACGUAUCCCCAGUACUGUAUCCAAACAUACUCCCUCAUCGAUACACCGGAUCUCCCUCGUCGAUUCACCCAAAAUCGCCUCUCUAAUCUUUUUCUUUUUCAUCUUUGUCGAGUUUAAUGGUCGAGUUUCAUCAAAUACCCCUUCAUUAGACCACCAUAAUCAUCAAACCCUAGAGUUCCCAAACCCCAAAACCUAAAGGACAGUUCCGUUGGUCUUUCCGGCACAUCGCCGGCACUUAUUCAAGGAUAGUUGCUGCUCCGGCACUUCUCCCGCACUCCUUCCCCAAAUCCCAAAUUAAUUUAUUGUUAAUAGGUGGUUACCUUAGAUCUGUUGCUUCAUCUGAUGCAGUUUGCAGGAAAAAUAUGACAUUCUGGACGAGGCAAAACAAUGGGUUUUUGAAUCAGUUUGUAGUGCUUGGAGAAAGUAUAAGAGUCAAUUGAAGACAACUCACUUCACAACCUAUGAGAAGGAUGAGCUUCGAAUGGAGAAUAGGCUAGUAGAUAUUCCGGAAUCUCACUUUAAGGAUCUUCUUAAAUAUUGGAACUCAAAUCAUCACAAGGAGUGGGCAUACUGUAUUGUCCCGAGAGAACAAAGAUGGUUUGGGACGAUGUUACUCUCCUAGGCUUUG